UGCAGGCCGGCCUGACCGCCGUUCGCCUCCAGCUCUGCGGUGGCCUAGGCAGCGCGCAGGAACCGCCAUUAAGGCUCCGGCAGAGGGGCCAGAGGGAGGCUGUGACCGGGGCAGGGAUCAGGUGAGCCCUUUCAUAAUUAAUAAGACAGCUCAGCUGAGAAGGCGAGGAGCCCGGCCCUAUUGAUCCGGCAGCCGAGCUGCUUCCACCUCUCCUAUUUAUAGGACCCGCAUGGCCUCACGGAGAAAUAAACAUUGCAGAGUACAGGGACACCGAGGCGACCCGGACCGGCUAGUGCUGGCCCGCGCCAGGUCACGCGCUCCCUCCCGACCAGCCCCGCCUCCUUGGGUCCCGGGCUCCAGGCGCGGCAAAGGAGAGUGGGCUGCUGCUCCGGGGACCCCACACCCCGGAACCUUCGUUGGUUCAGAAAAUAGUAGGAUUUUGCUAGUUUCGUUUCAAUGAUUAUUUUCAGUCUGCG
rnacentral:lncRNA from 1 species